GGUGUCCCGACCCAGGCUAAGCUUGAGCAUGGCUGAGCAGGAGCCCACAGCCGAGCAGCUGGCCCAGAUUGCAGCGGAGAACGAGGAGGAUGAGCACUCGGUCAACUACAAGCCCCCGGCCCAGAAGAGCAUCCAGGAGAUCCAGGAGCUGGACAAGGACGACGAGAGCCUGCGAAAGUACAAGGAGGCCCUGCUGGGCCGCGUGGCCGUUUCCGCAGACCCCAACGUCCCCAACGUCGUGGUGACUGGCCUGACCCUGGUGUGCAGCUCGGCCCCGGGCCCCCUGGAGCUGGACCUGACGGGUGAAGCUUCAAGAAGCAGUCGUUUGUGCUGAAGGAGGGUGUGGAGUACCGGAUAAAAAUCUCUUUCCGGGUUAACCGAGAGAUAGUGUCCGGCAUGAAGUACAUCCAGCAUACGUACAGGAAAGGCGUCAAGAUUGACAAGACUGACUACAUGGUAGGCAGCUAUGGGCCCCGGGCCGAGGAGUACGAGUUCCUGACCCCCGUGGAGGAGGCACCCAAGGGUAUGCUGGCCCGGGGCAGCUACAGCAUCAAGUCCCGCUUCACAGACGACGACAAGACCGACCACCUGUCCUGGGAGUGGAAUCUCACCAUCAAGAAGGACUGGAAGGACUGAGCCCAGCCAGAGGCGGGCAGGGCAGACUGACGGACGGACGACGGACAGGCGGAUGUGUCCCCCCCAGCCCCUCCCCUCCCCAUACCAAAGUGCUGACAGGCCCUCCGUGCCCCUCCCACCCUGGUCCGCCUCCCUGGCCUGGCUCAACCGAGUGCCUCCGACCCCCCUCCUCAGCCCUCCCCCACCCACAGGCCCAGCCUCCUCGGUCUCCUGUCUCGUUGCUGCUUCUGCCUGUGCUGUGGGGGAGAGAGGCCGCAGCCAGGCCUCUGCUGCCCUUUCUGUGCCCCCCAGGUUCUAUCUCCCCGUCACACCCGAGGCCUGGCUUCAGGAGGGAGCGGAGCAGCCAUUCUCCAGGCCCCGUGGUUGCCCCUGGACGUGUGCGUCUGCUGCUCCGGGGUGGAGCUGGGGUGUGGGAUGCACGGCCUCGUGGGGGCCGGGCCGUCCUCCAGCCCCGCUGCUCCCUGGCCAGCCCCCUUGUCGCUGUCGGUCCCGUCUAACCAUGAUGCCUUAACAUGUGGAGUGUACCGUGGGGCCUCACUAGCCUCUAACUCCCUGUGUCUGCAUGAGCAUGUGGCCUCCCCGUCCCUUCCCCGGUGGCGAACCCAGUGACCCAGGGACACGUGGGGUGUGCUGCUGCUGCUCCCCAGCCCACCAGUGCCUGGCCAGCCUGCCCCCUUCCCUGGACAGGGCUGUGGAGAUGGCUCCGGCGGCUUGGGGAAAGCCAAAUUGCCAAAACUCAAGUCACCUCAGUACCAUCCAGGAGGCUGGGUAUUGUCCUGCCUCUGCCUUUUCUGUCUCAGCGGGCAGUGCCCAGAGCCCACACCCCCCCAAGAGCCCUCGAUGGACAGCCUCACUCACCCCACCUGGGCCCAGCCAGGAGCCCCGCCUGGCCAUCAGUAUUUAUUGCCUCCGUCCGUGCCGUCCCUGGGCCACUGGCCUGGCGCCUGUUCCCCCAGGCUCUCAGUGCCACCACCCCCGGCAGGCCUUCCCUGACCCAGCCAGGAACAAACAAGGGACCAAGUGCACACAUUGCUGAGAGCCGUCUCCUGUGCCUCCCCCGCCCCAUCCCCGGUCUUCGUGUUGUGUCUGCCAGGCUCAGGCAGAGGCGCCUGUCCCUGCUUCUUUUCUGACCGGGAAAUAAAUGCCCCUGAAGGAG
rnacentral:lncRNA from 1 species